rnacentral:rRNA from 1 species
AGAAUUUUAAUGGUCGAACAGACCAACCCUUAAAGACUUCUGCACCUUUAGGAUAUUCUGGUCCAACAUCGAGGUCACAAACCUUUUUUUCGAUUAGAGCUCUCAAAAAAGAUAAUGCUGUUAUCCCUACGGUAACUAAUUUCAUUAAUCAUAAUUUUUGGAUCAAAACAGGUAAGUUUUUAUAUUUUAAAGAAGCUUUUUUUGUUCCUUAGUCGCCCCAACCAAAAUUUUUAAUAAUUUUUUUUUACAAAGUAUGAAUGAAUUUUAUUAAUUUUUUUAAAGCUCGAUAGGGUCUUCUUGUCUUUUAAUUUUAUACAGACCUCUUCAUCUGUAAGUAAAAUUCUAUUAAAUCAGAAAGAGACAGCUUUGCUCUUGUGAGACCAUUCAUUCCAGUCCUCAAUUAUAGGACAAAUUAUUAUGCUACCUUAGCACAGUUAAGAUACUGCGGCCGUUGAAAGAAAAUCACUGGGCAGGCCGGACUCUUUAUGUUAAUAAUUCAAAGAGCC